GCAGUUAACAGAGAAACAGUGGGGGUUGGGGAAACAGGAAUUUACCUUUAGUUUUGUCAGUAUUGUUGACUGUUUCUCUAAAGUUUCAUUUCUGUUCUCUUUUCUUCUCAGAUGCCUGAUUACUUUAAAUUGAGUGUCGGAGAUUGUAUACAAAAAUUUUGUGAUAUAGCUCCAAGCCUAACUACUGAAACCCUCAGAAUUUCCAAAGUGAUGACCCUAAUAAAGGUGUCUUUGUUAAUAAGGCAGAGGAGCCUGGCAGGCCGCAGUCCAUGGGGUUGCAAACAGACAUGACUGAGCAACUAGCACUUUCACUUGUUUUUUAUAAAUAAAUCAAUAACCUUGUGAGUAAAUUGGCUUCCUGAGUUCUGUGAAUCGCUCUACCGAAUUAACUGAAACCAAAGAGGGGGUCAUGGGAAACUGACUGAUAG
ensembl:lncRNA